rnacentral:lncRNA from 1 species
AAUGGUCAACAAGACUGGUUCUGUGUGAUUCAUUCCCCAGCUGCUGCUCAGGAAAGGGACGAAGUGCAGUGCCUGGCAUCCAGCAAGUGCUCAAGAGAUAUUGGUGAAUGAGUUACUGAAUGCAUAAAUGAAUGCAACAGCUGGAAGGGCCAAGAGAUAAUCUAACACAGGCAUUACACUGGAGUUGUCUUCCUCUGUUGGCUGGCAAGAGUAGCAACGCCCAGAUCGGGGUCAGAAUGACAUGACUGCUGGGAGCAGAAUGGAGGGUACAAACCCAGAGCUGGGCAAAAGAGCAACAGCCAGUUGGUGCCUCUGUCAGCUGUUGGAACGCUCAUCUUACCUCCCCAGAGUGGAAUGAAUUUUGUGCUGCUGGGACAGGAACUUCUAGGAAAGCUGGAGAUACACCACUGCUCAUUCCACAGAGGAGCGUCAGUUCAGCUGAGUCUGGGAUCUGAGAAGGGAGAGGUCGG